AUAUCCAUGCUGACUCCUCUAGUAUGCAUAUGUUGGAAAAGCUGAGCAAAAUGAGGUAGAACUAUUAUCGUUGUUGUCAUUGGAUUGAAUUCU